rnacentral:misc_RNA from 1 species
ACAGGAAAGAAGUACCUUUCAGUAGUUCCCAUAUCUUCCAGGAUAACUUUUUCAUCAACAGCUUUCUCACAGCUUUUCUCCUCAAUUGAGGAACUGGAACCCAAAUCACAUAUCUGUGAAGCAAAACCAUCACUCAAUGAAUUUCCCUCUCUUGCACUGCUACACCCAUAUAGUUCACAGAAGCCAGUCUUCAGCUUUUUGAUACUCUCUCCGUCUACAAUAUCCCAUGGCAUUUUUUGACCAGUGCUACUAGAAGUCCGAGGGGCGGUCUCCGAAAGAUCCAAGUAAGACCGUUUUCUGCUAUUUGACUGCCAGUCAAGGCCUUUAUUUAAGUCUCUACCUGAGGAAGCUUCUGCAUCCAUCAUCAGGGAAUUUUCAUUCAGGUUCCUCUCAACUUUAACUUCAUCUCUAUGAGUGUCCAUUCUAUCCACCAUUUUCUCCUCAACAACACUCUCCCUGACAUCUUCACCUUUAUCACCAACCUGGAAAACCUUGAAAGAUGAUGAGUUUUCUCUGACACAUGAAGCAUCAACAUGUGAUUGUGUCUCCUCUCUGCUUUUAGAACCAGUACUGAUUCCAGUUGCCUGAGUAGACGGCUUAUGUUCUGUAUCCACCCUGCACUCUGGAAGAGUUGCUGCUUCCUUUGAAGGACUGGUGCAUCUAGUUUCUGAGCAGAAAGAUGCACUGCUUGCUGCAUUUGUUGACAGGGAAUUCGAGUCAAGUCUACCAUCUUGCUCCUCUGAAUUUGUUUGUGACGCUUUAUUAUCAAGAUCCCCAUUUAAUGAAGUCAAUGGCUUGUCAGGAGAAUUCAUGUCCCAAGGC